rnacentral:rRNA from 1 species
AGAGUUUGAUCCUGGCUCAGAUUGAACGCUGGCGGCAGGCCUAACACAUGCAAGUCGGACGGUAGCACAGAGAGCUUGCUCUUGGGUGACGAGUGGCGGACGGGUGAGUAAUGUCUGGGGAUCUGCCCGAUAGAGGGGGAUAACCACUGGAAACGGUGGCUAAUACCGCAUAACGUCGCAAGACCAAAGAGGGGGACCUUCGGGCCUCUCACUAUCGGAUGAACCCAGAUGGGAUUAGCUAGUAGGCGGGGUAAUGGCCCACCUAGGCGACGAUCCCUAGCUGGUCUGAGAGGAUGACCAGCCACACUGGAACUGAGACACGGUCCAGACUCCUACGGGAGGCAGCAGUGGGGAAUAUUGCACAAUGGGCGCAAGCCUGAUGCAGCCAUGCCGCGUGUAUGAAGAAGGCCUUCGGGUUGUAAAGUACUUUCAGCGGGGAGGAAGGCGAUGGGGUUAAUAACCUUAUCGAUUGACGUUACCCGCAGAAGAAGCACCGGCUAACUCCGUGCCAGCAGCCGCGGUAAU